CACAGUUGGGCACAGGCUGUCCGACUGGCCCUUACACCUGUGGCUCUCAUGGCAGGGCCACGCCCUCCACCGGGCCAGGAAGGGAAUGCGAGGAGCAUCUUAGGGAGCUGGGCAGGGAGAGCAGGACACAGGGCCCGGCCUGGGACAGCCAAGCAUUGUGCUGCAGGAAGAGGCGUGGAAGGAGGAAAAGGGAAGGCGGAAGGGAGGGCACAGGGAGGCCCCAGUGCCCCAGCCCCUGCUCCUGGGCAGCUCCCAGCUGCAGCCCGGGUGCCGUCCCCCGGAGCAGGCCUCGUGGGUCGCUCCCUGCCCAUCCUGCCCACAGCACUGACCCCCACUCACCUUCUUCAGCCUCGCGCGCCAGAGCCAGAGCGGAUGGCAUCCAGCAGGGCCUGCCGCGCAUCCACCGCGCCGCCGCAGGGGCCCUGAGCUGGUCCUGGGGGCCGCCAUGGGUGCAGGGGGAGCCUGGGGCAUCGGCAGGGGCCCAGGGGCCUCAGGAGGCACUGCAGCCCAGCAGCCCCAGAGCUCUGCGGAGGCCGAAGAGGACACCUGGCAACAAGACACGCAGUGACCGCCACUGCCUUGGCCCUGCCACCUUGGAAUCCCGUCCUGCAUGCCAGGCCACAGGAAGGUGACCAGGAUCCGCCUCUCUAACCAACCACCUGGGCAGUGCCGUCAGCACAGGGUGGACCCAAUGGCGAGCAUCCCCAGAGGUGCUCCCAAGGGCACAGCUCCCAGCGACCUGUCUUGCCCUGGCCUCCAGCCCCCUCUGUGUGGGCCCAGGGAGUUGUGGCUCAGACACCUGGCCUGAGCGGCCCUGUCCCAGGCACAGGGCCAGGCCGCACCU
rnacentral:lncRNA from 1 species